UUGAACGCUGGCGGCAUGCUUUACACAUGCAAGUCGAACGGCAGCGGGGGCUUCGGCCUGCCGGCGAGUGGCGAACGGGUGAGUAAUGUAUCGGAACGUACCCAGUCGUGGGGGAUAACUAUCCGAAAGGAUAGCUAAUACCGCAUACGUCCUGAGGGAGAAAGCGGGGGAUCGCAAGACCUCGCGCGAUUGGAGCGGCCGAUAUCGGAUUAGCUAGUUGGUGAGGUAAAGGCUCACCAAGGCGACGAUCCGUAGCUGGUCUGAGAGGACGACCAGCCACACUGGAACUGAGACACGGUCCAGACUCCUACGGGAGGCAGCAGUGGGGAAUUUUGGACAAUGGGGGCAACCCUGAUCCAGCCAUUCCGCGUGAGUGAAGAAGGCCUUCGGGUUGUAAAACUCUUUCGGCAGGAACGAAACGGUGAGCUCUAACAUAGCUUGCUAAUGACGGUACCUGAAGAAGAAGCACCGGCUAACUACGU
rnacentral:rRNA from 1 species